CGCAGGAAAUUUGAGAGGAGCUGUCCUUAGUACGAGAGGACCGGGAUGGACGCACCGCUGGUGUACCAGUUGUCUUGCCAAAGGCAUCGCUGGGUAGCUAUGUGCGGACGGGAUAAGUGCUGAAAGCAUCUAAGCAUGAAGCCCCCCUCAAGAUGAGAUUUCCCAUAGCGCAAGCUAGUAAGAUCCCUGAAAGAUGAUCAGGUAGAUAGGUUCGGGGUGGAAGCGUGGCGACACGUGGAGCUGACGAAUACUAAUCGAUCGA
rfam:Bacillus sp. FJAT-27231 Scaffold1, whole genome shotgun sequence.